GAUGAACGCUAGCUACAGGCUUAACACAUGCAAGUCGAGGGGCAGCAUGGAAGAAGCUUGCUUCUUCUGAUGGCGACCGGCGCACGGGUGCGUAACGCGUAUCAAACCUGCCUCAUACUCGGGGAUAGCCUUGCGAAAGUAAGAUUAAUACCCGAUGUUGUUAUGUUACCGCAUGGUGAUAUAACCAAAGAUUUAUCGGUAUGAGAUGGUGAUGCGUCCGAUUAGGUAGUAGGCGGGGUAACGGCCCACCUAGCCUUCGAUCGGUAGGGGUUCUGAGAGGAAGGUCCCCCACACUGGAACUGAGACACGGUCCAGACUCCUACGGGAGGCAGCAGUGAGGAAUAUUGGUCAAUGGACGGAAGUCUGAACCAGCCAAGUAGCGUGCAGGAUGACGGCCCUCUGGGUUGUAAACUGCUUUUAGUUGGGAAUAAAAAAGAGGACGUGUCCUCUAUUGUAUGUACCUUCAGAAAAAGGACCGGCUAAUUCCGUGCCAGCAGCCGCGGUAAUACGGAAGGUCCAGGCGUUAUCCGGAUUUAUUGGGUUUAAAGGGAGCGUAGGCGGAUUAUUAAGUCAGUGGUGAAAGACGGUGGCUCAACCAUCGUUAGCCAUUGAAACUGGUAGUCUUGAGUGCAGACAGGGAUGCUGGAACUCGUGGUGUAGCGGUGAAAUGCUUAGAUAUCACGAUGAACUCCGAUCGCGAAGGCAGGUGUCCGGGCUGCAACUGACGCUGAGGCUCGAAAGUGUGGGUAUCAAACAGG
rnacentral:rRNA from 1 species